GACGAACGCUGGCGGCGUGCUUAACACAUGCAAGUCGAGCGGAAUUAAGAGCUUGCUCUUAAUUUAGCGGCGGACGGGUGAGUAACACGUGGGCAACCUGCCUUUAAGAGGGGGAUAACACAGAGAAAUUUGUGCUAAUACCGCAUAACCCAAUGCUACCGCAUGGUAGAGUUGGCAAAGGAGUAAUCCGCUUAAAGAUGGGCCCGCGGCGCAUUAGCUAGUUGGUGAGGUAACGGCUCACCAAGGCGACGAUGCGUAGCCGACCUGAGAGGGUGAUCGGCCACAGUAGGACUGAGACACGGCCCAGACUCCUACGGGAGGCAGCAGUGGGGAGUAUUGCACAAUGGGGGAAACCCUGAUGCAGUAACGCCGCGUGAGCGAUGAAGGCCUUCGGGUUGUAAAGCUCUGUCUUCAGGGACGAUAAUGACGGUACCUGAGGAGGAAGCCACGGCUAACUACGUGCCAGCCGCCGCGGUAACAC
rnacentral:rRNA from 1 species